CAGUGACGUCCUCUUCUAUCACUGUAACAAUUUAGCAACUCUGUAAGUCAUAAAAUGCAACUCAUACCCAGUGUUCUGAUGAUCAGAUAAAGCUGGUCCACAUCUGAUUUUCCAGGCCAGAGUGGCUGGCCUGUCUGAAGCUCUGCAAAAACGCAGCCAAUAGCCCAUAUGUCUACUGAAGAACCAUACUGUGUGUCUCCCACAAGAAGUUCAGGAGCUCGGUACCAUCGGGUAGCGACAUAGUCCGUGUAGGCGUCUCCUGGAACUGCAAAUGCGUCAGUCAGAUCAGGAGGCAAAGCACAUGAAUGUGACAUGCAAUAAAUUUGAGUGGAGUGGAGCAGAGCUGUAGUGCAAACCAAGGUAGAGACCUGACAGUUUGCUGCAUCACUGAAAUGACCCUGAGUGGAGCAUGGGCUCCUCGUUGGACAUGCGAGGACCAGGCUGAGCAUGAUGGAAAGCAACAGAGAUGUGGUUUUAAUUCAGCAUCAUCUUUAGUAAG